rnacentral:snRNA from 1 species
AAAUGUGAGGACAAUCUGGCUGUGAUAUCUUUCACCCCAUUGAUUACCAGGGCUGAUUCAACUGAUCUGUCUGGCCAAGCAUGUGUCCCUUCUUCCCUCACCACUCCAUGUGUUUUCCUCCCAAAAUGGCAAGCCCAGUGGAAGAAGACAACCAGCAAGAACAGUGGUUCUCAACUUUC